AUGCGAUAAGUAAUGUGAAUUGCAGAAUUCAGUGAAUCAUCGAAUCUUUGAACGCACCUUGCGCUCCUUGGUAUUCCUUGGAGCAUGCCUGUUUGAGUAUCAUGAAAUUCUCAAAGUAAACCUUUUGUUAAUUCAAUUGGUUCUGCUUUGGACUUGGAGGUCUUUUGCGGAUUAACAUCUGCUCCUCUUAAAUUUAUUAGCUGGAUCUCAGUAUAUGCUUGGUUCCACUCGGCGUGAUAAGUUAUCACUCGCUGAGGACACUGUAAAAGGUGGCCAGGAAAUACAGAUGAACCGCUUCUAAUAGUCUAUUAAAUUAGACAAUUAAUUUUAAGAUCUGAUCUCAAAUCAGGUAGGACUACCCGCUGAACUUAA
rnacentral:misc_RNA from 1 species